rnacentral:sRNA from 1 species
GCGAUGGUCCGGGCCUGGCUUGGCGGGCGGC